rnacentral:misc_RNA from 1 species
UUAAGUUUAGCGGGUAUCCCCACUUGAUCCGAGGCCAUGCGAGACGGUUACUGGCGGCUGCCGGUCCUUUAGACGCAGUGUGUUGCGGUUCAGGCAGACAGACGCCCAUGACUUAAAAAGUUCCUGGCGGAAAUCUCAACGCAAGGCAGAGCCUCAAACACAACCGGCGCUCGAACAAGUGUACUCCAAGGAAUGCCAAG